CAAGGGAGAUAGGCUGGUGGUAUUCAGCCCUGAGAAGGCUGGCGUCGGGGGUUCAACUCCCCUCCCUGGCCACCA
rnacentral:tRNA from 1 species